AAUGAUUUUGUGGCCAAAUCACCCCUGAAUGUGGCCACAGUCUCGUCAGAUCUCAGAAGCUAAGUAGGCUUGAGCAUGGCUCGUAUUUGGAUGGGAAGACGCCCGUGAAUACCAGUAUGGAAAUUAUUU
rnacentral:rRNA from 1 species